GAAACCGGAUUAGAUACCCGGGUAGUCCUAGGUGUAAACGCUGUGGACUUGGUGUUGGGGAUUCUCCGAGGAUUCUCAGUGCCGAAAGCGAAGGUGAUAAGUCCACUGCCUGGGGAGUACGGUCGCAAGGCUGAAACUUAAAGGAAUUGGCGGGGGAGCACCGCAACCUGAGGAUUGUGCGGUUUAAUCGGAUUCAACGCCGGAAAACUCACCAGUGCCGACGGACAAAUGAAAGCCAGUUUAAUGAGCUUGCUGGAUUGUUCGAGAGGUAGUGCAUGGCCGUCGUCAGUUCGUACCGUAAGGCGUUCUGUUAAGUCAGAUAACGAACGAGACCCUCAUCGCUAUUUGCUAAGGUCAGUCCGCUGAUCACAGGACUAUAGCGAGACCGCUGGCGCUAAGUCAGAGGAAGGCGAGGGCAACGGUAGGUCAGUAUGCUCCGAAUGCACUGGGCUACACGCGCAAUACAAAGGACGGGACAAUGGGCCGCUGCGCCGAGAGGCAUGUGGCUAUCUCGAAACCCGUUCGUAGUUCGGAUUGAGGGCUGUAACUCGCCCUCAUGAAGCUGGAUUAGGUAGUAAUCGCGUCUCAAAAAGGCGCGGUGAAUAUGCCCCUGCUCCUUGCACACACCGCCCGUCAAACCAUCUUAGUUGGGGGNGGGUGAGGCUGCCUUUUAGUGGGGUAUUCGAGCCUGCCUUCGACAAGGAGGGUUAAGUCGUAACAAGGUAGCC
rnacentral:rRNA from 1 species